AUGGAGUAAAGCCAAUUUUGUGUAAAGAUGCAAAAUGCAUGUUCCAUAGUACCUCUAUUAAACAGACAUUGAUCCUGAAUUAUAGGCCUUUUGCUUAUAAACGUAUUCAGCUGGGAGGGGGAACGGCUGUUUACGAGGGUGGACAGUGAUAGGACAAGGGGGAAUGGUUUUAAACUGAGACAGGGGAGGUUUAGGUUGGAUAUGAGGAGGAAGGUUUUCACCCAGAGGGUGGUGACGCACUGAACAGGUUGCCCAAGGAGGCUGUGGAUGCCCCAUCCCUGGAGGCAUUCAAGGCCAGGCUGGAUGUGGCUCUGGGCAGCCUGGUCUGCUGGUUGGCGACCCUGCACAUAGCAGGGGGUUGGAACUGGAUGAGCAUUGUGGUCCUUUUCAACCCAGGCCAUUCUAGGAUUCUAUGAGCACCCUCCUCUACUCUGUGGCCAACAUCAAAUUGUUCAGCCAUGAGAAAG
ensembl:lncRNA